UUGUCUGUUUCUUUGUUUGUUUGUCCAUCUGUUUGUUUGUCUGUUUGAAUGGCGAGGGCUCGCCUGCAUUGAUCUGUCCGAGUCCCCUGAUUGGUCUUGUCUCUUAUUGACCUCUUCUUUGAAAGCCUGUUUGACCCUCCUUCCCCUCAAAUCAGGUUUGGACCGGCUCAGGCGGCUCAUGUCCGGUCCUCCAGUCGUUUUUUUUUCUGGUUUGGUACGCUUCGCCCUCGGAGUGGCGUGACUUGGCGUGUAUUUCAGCAGUCACAGCGUUCAGACUGCUGGCAUGAGCAGCACGUCUCACCUGGUUCUUCCUGUUUAUGUCAGAAGCAUGAAAUACACCCUGUGAAUGUACUUCCUGAAUGUACUUUCAAAGUAAAACGGUUGGCCCGGUACCCCGACAGAAAGGUCCGUUAUUUCAGAACCUUUGACAGAGGAAAUGAAAAGAGCUGCAUGCUGUACCUCACCGUACUGAACCUGGAAAUGAGCCGUAAAAGCACUGUGGCUCCGUUUAACUGAGACCAGAAUAAUCCAGAAUAAUCCAGAUUUGUUAAUCUAGUUUCACUAUCCAGGAUCAGAUAAUCCAGAUUGUUUUUUUUUCCUCUUCUUUUGAAUAAAAACUGGAAACAGACUUUUAAAGAUGACCAAAUCCAGACUACAGGAGCAUGCACUACUUACUUUGUCCACAGGGGGGCGCCAAAACUCAUAAGGAUGAAAGAUCCUGACAGCUGCUUUAAAUCAAAUAUUGAAUGUUUGAAACAUUUAAUGAAGAAAAAUUCAUCCAUCUUUAGACAACCAUCAUGUUUACUUCAUCUGCUCUGUUACCGUGACGAUACAAGAGCAAAAUAUUUAAAAUGAGGAUGUGAUCGUCAUGGUAACGGUGUUGUUGGAAUAUUUCUUCCAUUUGAUUCUGUCAUCCUGCCUGAAUCCUGAUCAGGUCAGAGUUAAACUGAUCAGACUUUAUUUUGACGAUGACAUCAGAUCUGACUGUAACGAUAAAACCUGAAACUAAACAGAAAAAUAAAUUAAUAAAAAGACAUAACAUGUGAUGUUUGAUCUGAAAAAAAGAAAAACGGAUUUAAUUAAAUUUCUUUGACUUUUUCUCAUCUGAACUCUGAGUUUUCCUAAAUUUAUCCGAUCUGAUCCGAUGAGUUCUGAUGGUUUCAGGAUCUGGAGAAACAACAAACAGAUCAAUUAUUAUUCUGCGGAUCAAAACGCUGCAAAGACAAAAAGACAAAAGCAGCAUGUAGGACUUUGUGAACCCGGCAGACCAGGUUCUGGAGUCUGACAGUCAAAUCUCGUCCCUGAUCGAGGAUUUUAGAUGAUCCACAGUUCAGGGUCUCUUUUCCAAAUGUGUUCAGUCAGGACCGCAUCAGUCCAGUUCCUCAGCAGGACUCUUCUCCUGUUGUCUGAGUGAGGUUUGGGAUCAUCUGAAGGUCUCUGUUAUUCGACAGCGUCUGUUUUUACCUGAUCUGAUCAGGUAACAUGAGUGGGAUCACCUGUGGGGGCGGAGCUUAGGUGUGUGACAUCAUUGCGGCUGUACCUGCUGCUGAACACAAAGACCCGUGAACCUCCUGUAGUCUGUUUUGGUCCGACAGUAAUCCAGAUUUAAAGGCUCAGUCUGCAGAUUAAAGUCCAGGCUGAUGGAAACCUGAUCAUGAGUCUGAACUUUUACUGCAGAGAGAGAAAAAUAACAGAUUUAAUCACCGAAACGUCAAAGACGACAGAGAGAACGAGGAAGUAAAAACUCUGUAACCUCCACCCUCCUCUCCUCUGUGAUCACUGAUGAUGGUGUUAUAAUGUCAGAUGAGACUGUGUGUGUGUGUGUGUGUGUGUGUGUGUGUGUCUGCAUCGCCCCCCAGUGGACAGAAACGUCACUACAGUCUGAGAGAACCAACCGUCUGAUCAUAAAGACUCUUUAAAAUCAUCUCAGGCUGAGAUAAAAACACCAAAGCAGCAGAUCAGUGGACCGGUUCUGGUUGGUUCUGAUCCAGAUCUGCUGCAGACUGAACCUCUGAGGAGUGGAGCAUCUUUUCACAGAGACAAUCUUUGUUCUGUUCACCUGCUGUAUUGAUUUCAGUAAAGUUGAUGUUUUCCC